rnacentral:rRNA from 1 species
GGAAUAUUGGGCAAUGGAGGCAACUCUGACCCAGCGACGCCGCGUGCGGGAUGAAGGCCUUCGGGUUGUAAACCGCUUUUAGUAGGGAAGAAGCGAAAGUGACGGUACCUACAAAAGAAGCACCGGCUAACUAUAUGCCAGCAGCCGCGGUAAUACAUAGGGUGCAAGCGUUGUCCGGAAUUAUUGGGCGUAAAGAGCUCGUAGGUCGUUUGUUACGUCGGAUGUGAAAACCUGAGGCUCAACCUCAGGCCUGCAUUCGAUACGGGCAAACUAGAGUUUGGUAGGGGAGACUGGAAUUCCUGGUGUAGCGGUGGAAUGCGCAGAUAUCAGGAGGAACACCAAUGGCGAAGGCAGGUCUCUGGGCCAAUACUGACACUGAGGAGCGAAAGUCUGGGGAGCGAACAGGAUUAGAUACCCUGGUAGUCCAGACCGUAAACGGUGGGCACUAGUUGUGGGAACCUUCCACGGUUUCUGCGACGCAGCUAACGCAUUAAGUGCCCCGCCUGGGGAGUACGAUCGCAAGAUUAAAACUCAAAUGAAUUGACGG